UACGAAGGGGGCUAGCGUUGUUCGGAAUUACUGGGCGUAAAGCGCACGUAGGCGGGUUGUUAAGUCAGGGGGUGAAAUCCUGGAGCUCAACUCCAGAACUGCCUUUGAUACUGGCAACCUAGAGACUGGAAGAGGUUAGUGGAAUUCCCAGUGUAGAGGUGAAAUUCGUAGAUAUUGGGAAGAACACCAGUGGCGAAGGCGGCUAACUGGUCCAGCACUGACGCUGAGGUGCGAAAGCGUGGGGAGCAAACAGGAUUGAG
rnacentral:rRNA from 1 species